AGACCAUUAACAUCGUCAUCCCACUCGCUGCAUUAUUAAUUCGAACUCAGACUCUUCGUUACCUAACCGGCGAACUGUCUCUUCAUACACUUAGAAAAAUUUUAUGAUUUUUUGGUGAUAUUCUUUCUUUUUUUUUACAGAUUUGGUUUCGUCGAUCGAGUGCGACUCGACUUGGGUUUGUGCUUUCGGUCCGUAAAAAAACAAGAGCUAAUCGGCAGUAUUUAUUCAGGUUUGAAUUUUCCCAGAUUCCAGUCUACAAUCGUGUUUGAAUGGCUUCUGGAUUUUUAAUAUUAUUAUUGGUUUACAGUAUUGGGGAGGUGAAAUCCAAUCCCUUCGCUUCGCGCCAGGCUUAGCAACGCAAGGGGAGAAACAGGCCUGAGAACGUAGAUCUGAGAACGUUUAAGACAGUCAGAACUCAAAGCUACAUGAAGGGAUGAGUGAAAGAAAAGGCAGUGCCUCUCAAUGAUAUACGAAGGUCAAAACGGUCAGUUGACUAAAUAAGGAGAAUGUAUCCUCGAUUAAAUCGAAGCUCAUAUCAGAUGUGGUGUAUUACUGUUCAUCACCAUAAUUGAGGAAGCGACUCUUUUUCUUCAGGGAUACAGCUUCUGCAUCGAAUGAAGCAUUUUAUUAAUCAGAUGUUGGCUGAAGAACACUGGUGUAGUGAAUGUGCAAAUCAUACGAUGGCGUCACUUAAUGAAAGGAUGUAGGAAUACCAAUGGCAAGUUGACCGAGAAAUAUAAAAUCAACUGAUUCUCUAGCAGGGGAUGUCAUGAGAAUACCUUUUGUACAGAAGCAUACUUCAUAUCUUUAUACUGUUUCUGUCUUGCUCAUAUUUUAUACUAUUUUGUCUUAUAAAAUACAUUAUCUUAAAGAAUAAUAAACGAAACAUUGUCGUU